rnacentral:lncRNA from 1 species
GAAAGCAGGACUCUGCCAAGUUCUGAGUCCAGCUCUGAGCUGUUUGUCUUCCACCACCUGCUGCAGAACACGAGGUGAGGAAGUGGAGGCUCCCAAAUGUUGACUUGUCACAGGUGACAUGGUUUGUAAGUGGCAGAACUGGGGCGAGAAGCCAAGUGGUUGCCUCCUGUCCCUUCCUUCCAUUGUACCACAGCGCUGGCCUCUCCUCUCCUCACCUGACACUCCAUGGGUUCAAGUCAUUGCUACCGGAUGCCAAACUCUGCAGGUGCUGUGCUGGACACCGGGAAGCCAAGUGACUGGAUGAGAGACACUGUCCUAAGAGUACUUGCCAUCUAGUGCAUGACACAGACAUCCAGUGAAUAAUAGCAGCACAGUAUCAUGAAGGCUAUGGUAGGGACAAUCCAGGAUCCUACCAGAGCUUAUUCACAUGGGUGGUCAGAAAAGAACGGCUGCCCAUGGCAUUGGGGCAGAGAAAAAAUUGUACAACAAGCCAAAGAAUGCCUAUCCUUUCAUGAAGCAUUUUGGUGGGGCCAUUCUGUGACCUGUCUAUGCUUAAUGAUUCUAGGAAUGGAUUCAGUUACAGGCUGGACUCAGGGCUUCUUUGCAGUAAGUGACAGGCUACCACAUACAUACCACAUAUGCACACUGUGGUCUGAACAAGAACACUCGCUUAAAAGGAAAGUCAGGAGGAAAAGGAAAGGGUGACUUUUACUGCUUUGGCUGAAGGUACUGUAUUUGCCAGUAGAGAACUUGGGGAAAUCAAAUAUUUCAAUUACCCUAUAAUCAUGGAAGGUAAGACUGAUGGGUGAGCUUUUAGCUGUCUUCACGGUGUUUACACAUCUUUACAUCCCAUGGACAUCCCUUUGGAUCUAAAUGGAAGUCCUAAUUCCGAGGUCUUGAUUUAUUUUAGACAUGGGAAGUACUUCUUAACUGAACAGUCAGGGUUAAGUCAGGGAAGGGAACCCCUUGGAGUUAUGGGAUAAAGGACACACUUAUUAUAGGAAUUGGACAUUACACAACUUUGGGAGGAACUGGAGAGGUGAAGGCCCCGGAGGAAUGGGAGGAUCAGAGAAGGAGCCGCCAAGCAGUCCCUUGGACAAGCUAAGCACAUCCUGCUGCUGUGGAGGGGCUGAAAAGAGAAGCCUGUGGUCCCUCCUCCGUGGAAAUGCCAUCUGAGGGAGGGGCUGGGGCUGCUGUCGGUCCUGGAGUCAGCAGUCAGGAAGAGGACUGGAUGUGGAGUGCAGGACAGCAAGGACAAGCUGGAACCCGCUGGCCUCUCUGUGUCUGUCACCACAUCUAACCCUGAUGACUUUCUGAGAGUGAUGGCCACUGCUUCACAUUUUCCAAACCUGGUACAAGUUCUUCUUCUGGCCAAAUUUAACUCAGAACUGUACAGGGAAAGGGAUCUCGAAAAGAUAGUUCCAUCUUAGCCAAGUGAACAGAGCACAAACCAUCACAUUUGAAGAAAAGGCUGAAGGUAGAGAGAGAAUACUCUGCCUUAAUUAAGAAACAAAUACUUGGCUGGGUGCGACGGCUCAUGCCUGUAAUCCCAGCUCUUUGGGAGGCUGAGGCCGGCGGAUUGUUUGGGCUCA